rnacentral:lncRNA from 10 species
CGCCGCUGCCCCACGCGGAGCGCGACUGCCGUCACCCGACAGGACUUUCUUCUGGUUCACCCCUGCAUACCGAGUGCUGAGAACGGGCAGCGCAUAGGAGGAACGCAGUCCCUACCUGUCACAUAGAUGCAGGUUGUCUUGCCAAAUAGAACUCCACCUGGGCACCCUGAGAGGGGUGGCUCAGGCCGGGGCAGGCCUGCUGGGCCAGGACCAGGAUCACUCACUCCAGGGGAAGCUGGCUGCUGAGUCAUGAAGAGGUCCAUGCAGCCCUCCGGAGAAGCCCAUGGGAGACACUGAGGCCUCCAGCCAACAGCGACCAACCCCUUGCUAGGGGUGAGGAAGACUCUUGGAAGACUGUUCAGCCCCAGAAAGCCUUGAGGUGAUCAUGGCUUAGACCAGCAUCUUAGCUGCAACCUCAUGGGAGACCUAGAGGCAGAGCCAUCCAGCUGGGCCAUUCCCUGGCUCCUGCCCUGCAGAAGCCCUGUGAUACCGUAUAAUUUGAGACAUUACUCAGUUCUAAGCUCAGAGAGGAGACUUCUUUUCAAGGUCAUUGCAUACGGUUGAGCAAGUUGGCCACUGCACAAACAUGCCCAGCAGAGUUGAUUUUCCAGCAAACCUUCAGAGGGAGAAGGAGAAAUUGUCCCUCGGCCCCUACAGUUUUGGCACUGUGAGCAGGAGACUGACACCAUUCUGCUCUCCUGGGAGCUGCAGUGAAGGAAACCCAGGACCUGACAAACUGGCAGAAGGGUAAGAAUUUCUUACCAGCCGGGCUCCCAGCCUCUCUCUGUAAAAUCCAGUCAAGCAAAUAGUAAAAAUGACUGUCGUUUUUCUCUCUGCAAAAUUUUGAUUGAUGGGAGAAAAGGAUUUGUGUGGCUAGUCUUGGGUGUGGCAACUCUGGUGUACUUUUUGGUAGGAAUAUUACUAUUGUUUGAUCUUUUUUCCUCCCAGAAAUAGUCCUUUCCUUUGUUUUUGUCUUUUUUUGUUGCUCUGUCAUAACAAGGGGUCCCAUAGUGUUACCGGAAAGCGGUCCCGAUCCAGACCCCAAGAGAGGGUUCUUGGAUCUCGCGCAAGAAAGAAUUCAAGAUGAAUCCAUAGAGUAAAGUGAAAGUAAUUAAGAAAGUAAAGGAAUAAGGCCGGGCGUGGUGGCUCAUGCCUGUAAUCCCAGCACUUUGGGAGGCGGGUGGAUUACUUGAGGCCAGGAGUUCAAGAUCACCUUGGCCAACAUGGUGACCCCAUCUCUACUAAAAAUACAAAAAUUAGCCGGGCAUGGUGGCAGGUGCCUGUAAUCCUAGCUACUCAGGAGGCUGAGGCAGGAGAAUCGCUCAAACCUGGGAGGUGGAGGUUGCAGUGAGCUGAGAGCACGCCAGUGCACUCCAUCCUGGGUGACAAGAACGAA